UUUCUAGUAUUGAGACCAUAUAUCUCGAUACUAUUUGAAGGUUGGCUGUAAUUUGAUUGUUUAGAGCCUCGGCUCUAUAUAAACCGCACCGUCAUUAUCUUUUAUACUGAAGGUCAUGAUGUGUUUUAGAUAAUGUCCUCUUGUGACAGCUUCCUUAGAGCUCUUCCUCCCUCUCCAUUGUAGUUAUUGGCAUUGCCCCUCUCUCUCUCUUCAUUUUGGAUCACUAAGCUAAUGUGAUGCGGUAAACACUUCUCGCUGUCUCUCACGGAGGAAGAGGGACCCUCUCUCCAAACUGAAGAGACCAUUCUUUCUCCCCUCGACAAAAUGGAGGCCCUCUCUCUUCUCU
rnacentral:lncRNA from 1 species